rnacentral:tRNA from 1 species
CAGGGGAUAGUUCAGCUGGAAGAACGCUGGUUUCGGGAAUCAGAGGUCCGGGGUUCAAAUCCCCGUCCCCUGACCA